GAUCGUGUGGCGCAAUGGAUAGCGCGUCAGACUUCGGAUCUGAAGGCUGCGGGUUCGAGUCCCGCCACGAUUA
rnacentral:tRNA from 1 species